rnacentral:rRNA from 1 species
AGCAGCCGCGGUAAUUCCAGCUCCAAUAGCGUAUAUUAAAGUUGUUGCAGUUAAAAAGCUCGUAGUUGAAUUUCGGGACUAAUAUGUCGGUCGUACUUUGUACGUACUAGCAUUAUUGGUUUCUCCCUUCUGACGAACCACGAUGUCAUUAAUUUGGUGUCAUGGGAAAUCAGGACUGUUACUUUGAAAAAAUUAGAGUGUUUAAAGCAAGCUCGCGCUUGAAUACAUUAGCAUGGAAUAAUGAAAUAGGACGUUUGAUUCUAUUUUGUUGGUUUCUAGGAUCGACGUAAUGAUUAAUAGGGAUAGUUGGGGGCAUUAGUAUUCAAUUGUCAGAGGUGAAAUUCUUGGAUUUAUUGAAGACUAACUACUGCGAAAGCAUUUGCCAAGGAUGUUUUCAUUAAUCAAGAACGAAAGUUAGGGGAUCGAAGACGAUCAGAUACCGUCGUAGUCUUAACCAUAAACUAUGCCGACUAGGGAUCGGAUGAUGUUAAUUUUUAAUGACUCAUU